UCCCAGUCCGGCGUACCAAAACAAAUCCUCCAUCCUUCCGUGCAACGCGAUCCCGCACCGCCUUCCGGCUCUCUCAGCAAGUUUGUGUGAGCCAGCCCGCGGUAGCGUGCAUAGAAACACCGAAGUUUCCCCGGGGGUUACAAGCGCGAGGAACGGUGUCCCGGCGCGAUUCACGCAGGACAGAGCGCCUGAAUACCGAGCGACCCGCGAUCAACAGGACGCCCGCUCCGGUCUGCCCCGAGAGACGGCGGCGAGCUUCGGUUGAGCUCGGAUCCCGAACAGCUCGCACGCAGGUGGGACAGGCGGACGGACGGCCGCUCGAAGUUGACGGAAAGAGUCUGGCUCCGCCUCCUCUCCAUAUGAUAUGACAUCACUCUGCGGUUACCACAGAAACCAGGGCUCCACUGCAGACGGUUGACAGCCAAGCAGGUGGUGCGAUGGCUGCCCAGGUUGAGGUUGAUGCUGGGCGACCAUGUGUGGUCGGGAGUCGUUUGCACCUUAGCCCUCUCAUAGACUCUAGCAACAAGAGCUUGAUGGAGAGUUCAGGUGGAACCCAGGGGCCACUUAUUAUUCCCUCUGAGCCUAACAAACCUGCUCCGGCCCCCAAGCCUAGGCUCACCCCAAAACCUUUCACUGUGGAGAAAAAUCCUACUAUACGGCCAAUUCUUGCUCCUAAACCACAGCCAAAACCGAAACAUGAACCCAGUCGAGGGGUUUCCUCCAAACCAGACCUUCCCAGCACACCUAAACCACAGACAACCAGUAAACCCAGUGUACCACCUGCCUUUAAAACGACCCCGAAGCCCAGCGGGCAAACAA